CCCGCGCGCACCUGCCCCGCGACCCAGGCCGCACCCCGACCCGCAGCGCGCCUGCGCGGGGCCGAGCGCGCCGCGUUGCCAUGGAGCCGCGAGCGCCGCGGCCAGGGCAGCCGAGAGGGCCACCGCCUGGCCGGGCCGCUGAGGAGGGCCUCGGGCCGGAGAGGACGGAGCAGCCCCUGGAGAGCAGAUCUCCAUCUCUCGACAUGGAAGGAGCUGCUAGUCUGAUCUCUGGAGAGGAGCUUCCGGACAGUCUUCCCUCCAUGGAGGAUGAGAGAGACACGUUGACGGAUUUGGAGUUUGAGGUGGGCUCUCUCCCCGAGGGCCCGGAGAGCACCGCUGCCUCGGGCCACUGCAGUUCAGUGAAAGAAAAGCAAGCGGAAGCCUGUGCCGCAGGGGUCAGAAGGGCAGCCGCCGCGGAGGACAGGAUCCAGGAGUCCCAGCUGCGGAGGCACCUGGACCUCCUGGACAGGAUGCAGGAGGAGAAAGACUUCUUCAUCCAGAAGACCAGAGAAGAGCUGCGCACCUGCCGCCAGCGGAUGGACCUCCUCAGCAAGCAGCAGGAGACCGUGGCGGCCGAAAUGGCCCGGGAAAGAGAGGCCAGCAACACGGCGGCUGUGGGCCGUCUCCAGGCCUCUUCCCGACGCCUGCACACAGAGCUGGAGAAUGAAAGGGACCUGCAGUCAAGAAUCACGGCCAUGCUGAAAGAAAAUGAGAACGCCAUGUGGCACAUUGAGAUGGAGAAGGGGCGGUUCCAGGACCUCCACCAGCCCAGCCUCGAGGAGGCAGAGGCCAGGGGCAGGCGUCUCCAGGGGCUUGCGGCACAGCGACUACUCAAGGAGAAAGAGGCCGCAGAGAAGGCGGAGAGGAACCAGCGGCUGAGGGUCGGGAAGUCCCUGCACGUGCAGAGGGAGCUGGGGCUCGAACACCAGAGGCGGAUGGAGGACGCCCAGAGGAACCACAAGGUGGCCAUCGAGUUCCUGAAGGUCUCGCUGGGACGAGCUCGGGAGCAGGAGAAGAAGCAGGAGACUGAGUCCCGCCAGGUCCUGAAGCAGCGCAUGGACGCCGUGCUGGCUCUGAAGAGCAGCAUCACCGCCAACCGGGAGACACUGCGCAAGAUCCAGGCCUGGGGCCGGGCCCGGGCAGCGCUGGCUGAGCAGAAGGCCAGCGCCGAGAAGGAGGCCAUCCUGGCCCAGGGUGGGGACGCCUUCAAGCACCUUUUCCACCACCGCCGGCGCCAGCACUUGGAGGCCCAGAGGCGGACCUUCCAGGAGGAGCAGCAACUCCGGAAGCAGGAGAUCGUAGGUCGGAUUUUGAAAGAGGAGGCUGAGGAGGAAAGCCGGAAGAAGAAACAGCUGCGCCCGGCCAGAGCUGCAGUUGGACGCACUCUGAGAGACAAGACCUGGAACUACAUCGCCAACAUCUGCACAGGGAAGAUGGCCACCAUGGCCACCAGUCUCCCACUGGAGGCGGAGGCAGCACAUCCCGAGACCUCUCUGCUCCUGAAAGUCAUCUCCAGUGAGUCUGUGCAGGGGGACCCUGGGACCACCAGUGGAGAGGAAGAAACACUGGCUGAGCCCGAGAUCCCUGGGCUUUGGCAGGAAGACUGUGCACAUUACCAGGAACUCAAGGAGGAUGUGGGCCGAAAGCCCGUGGGCGGCACCAAGAUGGACAAGGACAUCCUGGCACGCACGGUAGCGCAGCUACGCAGCAGAGUGAUCCACAAGCAGGUGGUGUCAGGGCGGGAGUUCAAAGGCCGCCCCUUCAACAGCAAGCCCCAGCUGGUCCACUUCAAGGACUUCGAGGUGGGCGAAGUGUACAAGAAGAAGAUUACGCUGGUGAACGCUACCUACACCAUCAACUACUGCUCGCUGGUGGGAGUGGACGAGAGCCUGCGGGACUUCGUCCACAUCGGCUUUGACCCCCCUGGGCCCAUGUCAGCCGGGAUGUCCUGUGAAGUGCUGGUCACCUUCAAGCCCAUGAUAAAUAAAGAUCUGGAAGGAAGCAUCUCCUUCUUGGCUCAGACAGGCAGCUUUUCUGUUCCUCUGAAAUGUUCAACAAAGAAAUGUUCCCUGUCCCUUGACAAGGAGCUCAUCAACUUUGGCAGCUAUGUGGUGGGUGAGACCACAUCCCGCACCAUCACACUGACCAACGUCGGGGGCCUCGGCACAAAGUUCAAGGUUCUUCCAGCUUCCGAGGCCUGUGAGAUGGACGAAGAACCCUCGCCCCUCCUGAACAUAAGCAGCCUGCUCACCUCCGAAGACAAGAGUGCCUGUGAGAAGGGUCUGGCCAGCGUCUCUGAGCAGCAGCUCGAAGGCAAGACCUCCCUGCUGGACACCCAGAGCCGGAAGGAGCUGGAGAGGAUGGAGGGUGAGCUGCCUGCCGGUGGCCGGCACCCCACCUCAGGCUCCUCCCUGCCCGGACUCCAGGCUGCCCAGGCAUGCCGAGAACAAGAGGGCACCUCUGCGACUGGGGGCUUGGCCACGUUUCCCAGCGAGGAGCAGGCGGAGAUCACACUGGGGGAGACAACGGAGGGGGAAAUUGGCCCUUUUAGCUCCGUCAGAGUGCCCGUCGUGUUCACCCCGGUCAUCCCAGGGGAGGUCCAGACCGAGUUCAAGGUCAUGUUCAAGAAUCCCAAGUGCCCAACGCUGUAUUUCAGAGCCAAGGGCGUGGCCAUCGAUGUGCCGGUCUGGGUGCCCAAGCCCAACCUGGACCUGAAGAUCUGCAUGUACGACCGUCUCUACCAGGACUCUGUCCCCAUCCACACGCGAUCCAAGGUGGCCCUGCGCCUCAAGUUCGAGGUGUGCAAGGAGCUUCGAGGCCACGUGGAGCUCCUGCCGGAGACGGGCUACAUCCAGGCCCAUUCGACCUACUCGGUGCAGCUCAAGUUCCUGCCCCGGCACUCCCUCCCAGAGGACGCUGGCAAGUACUUUGACAAGGAGAGCAGAGUUCUGGAGGCUCCGAUGACCAUCUGGGUGGCCGACCAGUGCCCAUCCCUGCUUGCCCAGUGGAGAAGAGGGGGUGCUGGGGACACUCACCCCCCGUCCAUGCCACAGAUGAAGCCAGUGGGCUUCACCAUUCAGGCCAUCGUCACCACCUCGGACCUGGAGCUCAACCCCCAGGAGCUGGACUUCGGCUACUGCACCAUCUACCAGGCCCUGAGGACGGAGAUUGUGCUCUACAACCCCUCGCUCCUGCCCCAGGAGUUUGGGUUCGUGGGGCUCCCCAAGUUUGUGGACAUCCAGCCCAAUGACGGGUUUGGGACGAUCCUGCCGCUGGAGGCUCUGCAGCUGGAUGUGAUCUUCCAGCCCACCAAGGCCAAGGAGUACAGCUUCGAGCUGGUCUGCAAGUCUGAGGUGAACAGGUGCUUCAAGAUGUCCUGCCGAGCCGUGGGUGUCCACCCCCCCCUGGAGCUGUCCCACUACCAGAUCAAGUUUGCAGCCACUCCCUUGUAUGACACUUCAGUGGCCCGGCUAUAUGUCCUCCACUCCCACCCGGCUGUGAGCUCCCUGCCCCACUCUGGGCCCCGCACUGACUCAGAGGAGGUCUCCCCCGUGGGAGCCACGACGUUUGAGUUUCUGCUGCCCUCGGACUCCCCCAUCACCAUCUCGCCCUUGGUGGGGACCGUGUUGCCAGGCAAGAGAUGCCUGGUCCAGGUGGCCUUCCGGCCUGUGCUGACCCAUGCGCGGAUCCACGAGGAAGCCCUCCAGAUCCUGAACAAAGAAAUCCAGGACAAACUGUUCCGAAAGGACACCUUGAGCCAAAGGAAGGAGCUGUGGAGGCAGUCCCUCUCCGUGCUCCGCCUGCGGACCCGGGACCGCCUGCUGCGUGCCGUUGCGGCCUCCCACCCCCCACAGCAGCAGAAGCAGGAGCUCCGGGUCAGUUCCCAUGAUUACCAGAUCGCUCAGGCUGCCCUGGCCAGAAAUUUCCAGGGGAAGUUUGAAAAGUUUGUGGUCCCAUGUGUCAUGGCCAGUGGUGACGUCAAAGACAGGAAGGGAUCAGAACCCCUGACCUUCAGCCCCCAUAACACCCUGUACCUGGAGCUGUGGUGUCCAGCGGUGGCUCCGUCUAUCGUGGUGACAUCUAACAAAGGCAAGACCACCUUUCACUUUGGCGAUAUUGCUGUAGGACACCGCAGUAUAAAGAAGGUCUCGCUCCAGAACAUCUCGCCUGAUGACCUGGCUGUGGAGUUCUCGGUACUGAACCCCAACGGCCCCUUCUCCCUGCUGAACCCCUUCAGCAAGCUGUGCUCGGGGGAGACCCAGGUGCUGAUGCUGUCCUUCUCUCCCCGCGAGAGCAUCCUGGCUCAAGAAACACUGGAUGUCAUCAGCGAAAAAGGCAACCUCACCCUGACCCUCACCGGCAUGGGCGUGGCGUCCAUGGUCACGUGCUCUAUUGAAGGCAAUGUGCUGAACAUGGGCUACGUGCUUGCCAGAGAGUCCGUCUCCUCAAGUUUCAAGCUGCAGAACGACUCCUCGCUCCCCAUCAAGUUCUCCAUGCGGCUGGAGAGCCUCUCCAGCACCCGGGCCCUGGCCCGGCAGCAGCUGCCUCAGUUCCUGGCCACACCCACCCGGAGGACAGACUUUGUCGGCACACAGAACCACAAUGGCCAGAGCGUGUUCAGUGUGCUCCCAGUGGAGGGUGUCAUGGACCCCGGGAAGGAGCAGGACUGCACCGUGACCUUCAGCCCUGACCACGAGAGCCUCUACUUCUCUGACCGGCUCCAAGUGGUGCUCUUCGAAAAGAAAAUCUCCCACCAGAUCCUCCUGCAGGGCGCUGCCCGGGAGCACGCGAUGUUCGUGGAGGGCGGAGACCCGCUGGACGUGCCUGUGGAGUCUCUCGCUGCGAUAUCUGCCGUUGGCCCUGAGCACAGAGAGGGCUCCCCCUCUCCAGAAGCUGAGGAGCUGAAGCCCAUCCUGGUGACCCUGGAUUACGUCCAGUUUGAUGCAGACACACCAGCCCCACCUGCCACCCGAGAGCUGCAGGUGGGCUGCAUCAGGACCACCCAGCUCUCCCCGAAGAAGCCUCCAUCCAUGCCAAUGGCCUGCAGAUGGCAGAGUUCAGCAUGGACAGUGUCACGUGGCUGCAGCACAAAGGCUUCUCCAUCGAGCCCUCCAGGGGCUUCGUAGAGCGCGGCCAGACCAAGACCAUCAGCAUCUCCUGGGUGCCACCCGUUGACUUCGACCCGGAUCAUCCUCUCAUGGUGUCAGCCCUGCUGCAGCUCAGAGGGGAUGUGAAGGAAACCUACAAGAUCAUCUUGGUAGCCAACGUGGUGACCGGCUCCUGAGACCACAGGGGCAGCUCCACAAGCCCCUCCACUCUCCUGUCCACUCCUGCAGCGCUCAGAAGGCUGUCAGCCUGUCCAAACACCCCCGGGGCUGGGAUCUGGGCAUCCCCCGCUGGGCAGGUUCAAAUGGUCAGUCUCCUGGAUGGCCCCAUGACCGGAUUCCCCAGUCCAUGGCCACCUCCUGCUAUGCUGGACUCAACAAGCCCACAGUCCAAGAGCACCCCUCUCCCUGAACCCAACACUCAGAACCAGGGAUAAGUCCUGUUCAGCUCACAAACUACUUCUAGCCAGAGACCCAUACCCACCAGGACCUGCCCAGCCUUCAGAGGGCCCUAGGAAAGCCACCCCUUCAGGCCUGUCAAUAAAGUCCCUGAGCCAACCAUGCAGCUGCAGUAUGGGUGACAACCAUGGGAGAGACGAACAGAGCUCUGGGGAGUGGCCCUACACACACACCUGUGGAACAGCCAACUCUGCUGAGCAGGGGCCUCCUGGAUGGUGGGAUCUCGCCAGACACUGUGGGAAGACCACCUGGCCCAAACACUGGGAGGGCCCCACACUUGGAGCGCUGGGUGAUGGGUGUGGGGUACAGGGCUGGAGUUGAGACUGACCCACACUCAGAGGUGCAGGGAGGAGGCAGAAGGGGAGAAGGGGCUCCAAACUCUAGGGCAGGUCCCUUAGUCCUCCUGGGACCUCCCAAGUUCUAGGACACUGGCCCCAAAGAAGGAGUGAGCAAAAGUUGAGGGCUCAGCUCAGCCACAUUUCCCCCUCAGGACCCACCCAGGGGCCAGAGUGAGGCCCAGCUUGUGAGUUUGGGUUCCACUUGUCUGAGAACCCUGGGUUCUGCUUUCUGGGUUCUGGUCCACCCUUCAAGGGAGAAAACCACUCCCAGCCCUAAGAUGCUCCUACACCCCAAUCCACUACCUGCUAGUUCUUUCCCUCAAGAGUGUGACCUGCUGGACACAAAGCCAGCCUGGCCCUCCUGUCUGUGCAUCACAACCCCCUGCCAUCCCAACCCAGGGCCAUCCACCAGGAGCAAAUUGAGUGUGGGUGUCUGGGUGCUUGCUCAGUGCCCUUGGCACUUAGAAGCCUGCCAUUGCCCCUCAGUAACAUGGACCCUGCAGCAUUUUGCAAGGUUUCUUUCCAGAAGACUUCAGAGUGACAGACCCAGACCCCUUGCUGCCCUUGCUGGGGCUGACCAGCAUUGGCCCCCCUAGGCCCUAGAUGUGCUUCCUGGCCAGAUGGGAGGAGGAGGCAGAGUCCACCAGGCCAUGUCGGGCCUCAGAAUGAUGUGCUCCACAGAAGACCCUCCCUCCUGGAAGAGGGCAGAGCAUUCCCCGUCCAGGACUCCAGGCUCUGGCCCAGCUAAGGCUGUACUUGGGUGGUGUGCUGGCCCUCCAAAAUCAAGCACAGUCAAGUCAGAAAGAAGGAGGGUCAGCAGCCAAGCCCAGCCAGCUGCAGUACAGGCUGGAGCAGCGCCAAGGAGACCUACUGGCACCGGGCCUAGACGACCCACCCCACACCCUGGUGACCCUGAGCCAGGGAGACAGUAGUG